UGGUUGGUGGUGUAGUUGGAAACAUAUGCCUCCGCUACGGUAUUACGAUACAUUGCGGUCUCUGGCAAGACCCAGGUUCAAGUCCUGGCCGGCCUG